GAGAGGAGAGGAGAGGAGAGGAGAGGAGAGGAGAGGAGAGGAGUAUUGUAUACGUAUCUUCACUGUCUAGGGCUGUACAUGAAACCAGGCCUGGCUCAGGGAGGCUGCAAAGUCUUAGCAACAGGUGAGGGUCAAAAGGCAGGGGCAGGAAAGAGGUGUGGUUUCCCACUGCUAUGACUGUGGAGUCAGCUCUGGGAGGCAAGUGUGAGGCAGGAAAGGGGACCAAGCUGGAAAGUGGGAGCAGGCAUAAGGAUGGGCCAACCCAAAGCAGGAAUGAAACCCGGGUGAGCACCAAGCAGGAGGGCCAUAAAUGGAAUGAGGUGAAAUGGGGAUGGCCAGCGCAAAGUCCAGAUUCUGGAUAUUCCUUCUAGAUGAGGCUCCUCUUUGGUGAAUCUGAAACAAACUUUCAAGAGUGCCAAGCUAGGCUACUUAAUCGCCAGAUUUUUUUCUGGAUGCUUUUGUGUGUAUUGCUUUGACUUACAAGUUGUUAAAAUCAUUUUUUAAAUCUGUGCUUUUAAAAGGAAGACCAGGGGCACCUGGGUGGCUCAGCGCCCCAAGCAUCCAACUCUUGAUUUUGGCACAGGUCAUGAUCUCACAGUUCAUGGGUUUGAGCCCCGCAUCAGUGGGGAGCCUACCUGAGAUUCUCACUCUCCUUCUCUCUCUGCCCCUCCCCUCCCUAAAAAUAAACAAAUAAUAAAUAAAUAAAUACAUACAUACAUAGAUUGAAGACCACCAUAAUAGACUUCUAUUACAUGCUGAGCCUACUUGGGAUUCUCACUCUCCUCUCUCUGCCCCUCCCCUCACUCUAAAUAAAUAAAUAAAUAAAUAGAUUGAAGACCACCAUAAUAGACUUCUAUUACAUGCUGAUAUAAUUAUUACAUUCACAAUUUGGGGAGGUAGCCUGUUCUGUUAUUAGAAUCAUCAGAAGCUUUUUAAAAUAUAUAUACUGAGCUGAAAAUUGCUUCCCACUUCUUUAACCCACCAGGGAAGUAGAUGCAAGGUUAGCCUUUCUUCACCAAUGCAGUUCUCCAAUAUUUUGAUAUUUCAAAUAUUUGAAAACUUCAUUAACUAUGUUACUAAUUGCCUCAACUUUUUGGCUCAUCAUGAGCUCACGGUCAACGUAAAGUUCCACAUUCUUAUGACAUCUGCCAAGCCAGGUCUCCCCAGUCCGCUGCUUACACAAUUGAUUUUUUUGAGCCUAGAUGCAAGAGUUUAUAUUUAUCCUUAUUAUUGCUCAACUCAGUCAAAAUAAUUUUGAAUCUUGAUUCUGCCAUCUGUCAUAUUAGCAGUUCUUCCAGCUCUGUGUCAUCUGAGACUUGCUAAGCCUGCCUCCUAUUCCAUCCAAGUCAUUGAUUAAAAUGUUGAACAGGACAGGGCUUCCCUCCAGGUUGAAAUUGAUCCAUUAAUCAAUAUUCUUAGGGCACGGAGUCUCAACAAGCCAUGCAUCCAAAUAACCCUACCACCUAUUCCUACCAUCCAUCCUAUUCUGUUUCAUGGGUACUUGUGGUAUUUUUCUGUCUGUCUUUCUGUCUGUCCUUCUGUUUGUUUGAAAAGGGACCCAAGAUGUCUGGGGUAUGUUACAGAAAGAGAAAUAAGAGGAGCUGAAGGGCAUACCGGUUAGGAUGCAUUUAGCAGCACAUAACAAAACCCCAACCCAAACUGAUUUAAGCACAAAAAAACAAAAAAAACCAAAAAAACUGGUGGGGAGGAGGGACUUAAUAGUACAGAUCACUGAGCAGCUUAGGAAUAGAUGUGGCUUCAGGCAAGUCUUUCUGGGCCUCAAAUAUGUGCUCAGGUCCCCGUUUCUCCCCAGUUCUUGGUUGUGCCUCCUUAAUACUGGCCCCAUUCUCGUUGUGCUUUCUUCUCAAAGCCCAGGCAGCCUGCCAAGAAUGUAUAGGACUACAGGCUUCCUUGCUCAUUACCAAGGGCAAAAAGAAUCUGUGGCCCCAAAUUCUCAAUAACAAUCAGGUGAACCCUGGCCAGGAUGCUAAGGUCACUGCCCAUUCUUGAACCAACUAUCAUGGCCAUGGGAAUGGGGGCAUGGAAGGGCUUCAGCCAGUUAAUCCCACCCCUAGAGUCCAUCACACCCAUGUCAUACGACAGAGAACUCGGGAGACACCUGCCAGAGGAAGUUCUGGUUGCCAUCCCAGGAAGGCAGCAAGGGCAAUAGUGAGAAAUCGCCCCUUGGUCUCAAACAAACCAGAACACAGGUCAAACUAAAGACAUUUAAGCAUCUAGAGAGUGGUCAACAGUGUGGGAGAUAGGGCAGUGUAUCGAAGAGGGAGCAGCAGCUCUAUGAGGUAGAAGUCAUGAUCCUUACCUUCAUGGAAUUUAAUCACCAACUGAAAAAAAAAAAAAGGAAAAAAAAUACCUCCCUUCCAAAUGAAACCC